GACGAACGCUGGCGGCGUGCUUAACACAUGCAAGUCGAACGGAAAGGCCCCGCUUUUGUGGGGUGCUCGAGUGGCGAACGGGUGAGUAACACGUGAGUAACCUGCCCUUGACUUUGGGAUAACUUCAGGAAACUGGGGCUAAUACCGGAUAGGAGCUCCUGCUGCAUGGUGGGGGUUGGAAAGUUUCGGCGGUUGGGGAUGGACUCGCGGCUUAUCAGCUUGUUGGUGGGGUAGUGGCUUACCAAGGCUUUGACGGGUAGCCGGCCUGAGAGGGUGACCGGCCACAUUGGGACUGGGAUACGGCCCAGACUCCUACGGGAGGCAGCGGUGGGGAAUAUUGCACAAUGGGCGGAAGCCGGAUGCAGCAACGCCGCGUGCGGGAUGACGGCCUUCGGGUUGUAAACCGCUUUCGCCUGUGACGAAGCGUGAGUGACGGUAAUGGGUAAAGAAGCACCGGCUAACUACGU
rnacentral:rRNA from 1 species